rnacentral:rRNA from 1 species
UAGAGUUUGAUCCUGGCUCAGGAUGAACGCUAGCUACAGGCUUAACACAUGCAAGUCGAGGGGCAGCAUGGUCUUAGCUUGCUAAGGCCGAUGGCGACCGGCGCACGGGUGAGUAACGCGUAUCCAACCUGCCUUACACUCUUGGACAGCCUUCUGAAAGGGAGAUUAAUACAAGAUGUUAUCAUGAGUAAGCAUUUUCGCAUGAUUAAAGGUUUACCGGUGUAAGAUGGGGAUGCGUUCCAUUAGAUAGUAGGCGGGGUAACGGCCCACCUAGUCUUCGAUGGAUAGGGGUUCUGAGAGGAAGGUCCCCCACAUUGGAACUGAGACACGGUCCAAACUCCUACGGGAGGCAGCAGUGAGGAAUAUUGGUCAAUGGACGAGAGUCUGAACCAGCCAAGUAGCGUGAAGGAUGAAGGUUCUAUGGAUUGUAAACUUCUUUUAUACGGGAAUAAACGAAUCCACGCGUGGAUUUUUGCAUGUACCGUAUGAAUAAGGAUCGGCUAACUCCGUGCCAGCAGCCGCGGUAAUACGGAGGAUCCGAGCGUUAUCCGGAUUUAUUGGGUUUAAAGGGAGCGUAGAUGGGUUGUUAAGUCAGUUGUGAAAGUUUGCGGCUCAACCGUAAAAUUGCAAUUGAUACUGGCAGUCUUGAGUACAGUUGAGGUAGGCGGAAUUCGUGGUGUAGCGGUGAAAUGCUUAGAUAUCACGAAGAACUCCGAUUGCGAAGGCAGCUUACUAACCUGUAACUGACAUUGAUGCUCGAAAGUGUGGGUAUCAAACAGGAUUAGAUACCCUGGUAGUCCACACGGUAAACGAUGAAUACUCGCUGUAGGCGAUAUACAGUCUGCGGCCAAGCGAAAGCAUUAAGUAUUCCACCUGGGGAGUACGCCGGCAACGGUGAAACUCAAAGGAAUUGACGGGGGCCCGCACAAGCGGAGGAACAUGUGGUUUAAUUCGAUGAUACGCGAGGAACCUUACCCGGGCUUAAAUUGCAACCGAAUAUGGCGGAAACGCUAUAGCUAGCAAUAGCGGUUGUGAAGGUGCUGCAUGGUUGUCGUCAGCUCGUGCCGUGAGGUGUCGGCUUAAGUGCCAUAACGAGCGCAACCCUUGCCGAUAGUUACUAACAGGUCAUGCUGAGGACUCUGUCGGGACUGCCAUCGUAAGAUGUGAGGAAGGUGGGGAUGACGUCAAAUCAGCACGGCCCUUACGUCCGGGGCUACACACGUGUUACAAUGGGGGGUACAGAGGGCUGCUACCACGCAAGUGGAUGCCAAUCCCAAAAACCUCUCUCAGUUCGGAUUGAAGUCUGCAACCCGACUUCAUGAAGCUGGAUUCGCUAGUAAUCGCGCAUCAGCCACGGCGCGGUGAAUACGUUCCCGGGCCUUGUACACACCGCCCGUCAAGCCAUGGGAGCCGGGGGUACCUGAAGUGCGUAACCGCAAGGAGCGCCCUAGGGUAAAACUGGUGACUGGGGCUAAGUCGUAACAAGGUAACCG